UACGUAGGCAGCGAGCGUUGUUCGGAGUUACUGGGCGUAAAGGGCGCGUAGGCGGCCUGUUAAGUCGAACGUGAAAUCCCCGGGCUCAACCCGGGAACUGCGUCCGAUACUGGCAGGCUUGAAUCCGGGAGAGGGAUGUGGAAUUCCAGGUGUAGCGGUGAAAUGCGUAGAUAUCUGGAGGAACACCGGUGGCGAAGGCGGCAUCCUGGACCGGUAUUGACGCCGAGGCGCGAAAGCCAGGGGAGCAAACGGG
rnacentral:rRNA from 1 species